rfam:Ignavibacteria bacterium RBG_16_35_7 RBG_16_scaffold_22369, whole genome shotgun sequence.
AACUUAUCAAGAAAGGUCGAGGGAACAGGCCCGAAGACACCUUAGCAACCGCUCAAUAUAUUUUGAGAGAGGUGCUACAUCCUGCCCCAAUUUUAUUGCGGGAAAGAUGAGCA